AUUGAACGCUGGCGGCAGGCCUAACACAUGCAAGUCGAACGAGUGGCGGACGGGAGAGUAAUGUCUGGGAAACUGCCUGAUGGAGGGGGAUAACUACUGGAAACGGUAGCUAAUAACGCAUACCAUCGGAGGUGCCCCGAUGGGAUUAGCUAGUAGGGGGGGUAAAGGCUCACCUAGGCGACGAUCCCUAGCUGGUCUGAGAGGAUGACCAGCCACACUGGAACUGAGACACGGUCCAGAAUCCUACGGGAGGCAGCAGUGGGGAAUAUUGCACAAGGGGCGCAAGCCUGAUACAGCCAUGCCGCGUGUAUGAAGAAGGCCUUCGGGUUGUAAAGUACUUUCAGCGGGGAGGCGUUACCCGCAGAAGAAGCACCGGCUAACUCCGUGCCAGCAGCCGCGGUAAUUC
rnacentral:rRNA from 1 species